CAGGUGGUAUCUGAGCGGGGAAAUUACCUUAAUCGAGAUGACUUACCUUAAUGGAGGUGGCGAUUAUAGUGGUUCUCGAGACGCUGAUCGAGGAACUAGUCCUUGACCAUAAGGACAAAACCUUGCAAUGAUGGAAGCGAUGUCUAAAGCAAUAGAUGGAUCUCAGAUUCACGCAUAUCGAGAGAUGCUUUGAAGAAAUUGCAGAUUGUCUUGGUUCUUAAAAACUAAAACAAAUAGGGAUCGAUAUGACAACAGAAAACCAAGGGUAAAUGUAGCUCAUGGUGC
rnacentral:misc_RNA from 1 species